GGAAGGCUGUGGCUCAGUCUUAGAGCAUCUGCCUUGGGUGCAGAAGGUCCUAAGUUCAAUCCCCAGCAUCUCUA